AUGAGAAAAUGGGUGAGAAGUUCGGUUUUUGUGGGUGGUGCUGCAACGCUUCUAACUGUAAUAUCUUUGGAAGGCUGGAACCAGAAUGCAAGCAUACCAUUACAGUUACAGAGGCUGCAAAAGUGGGUAAUCUUCAAGUACAAAUCGUUCCAAGAGAGUAUUGCUCUUAUUUUGCGGCGAGAAAGUAAAGGUUUAUUUUGUGAUGGUUUUUCAAUCGAGAUUUGUCCUCAGAUCUUGGUAAGCAUGGUUCUUGGUGAUAGGGGUCUACCUACGUUUAUACAAGUGAAAAUACAGUCAUGA
rnacentral:lncRNA from 1 species